UUAAGAGCAAACAAUAUAUGGUUUAAUGAGAAAUAUUCUUAGAGACAAGAAAUAUGAAUCGCAUAUUAAUUCCUUCGAUUACAAAAUAUCCCGGUACAAGUUUAGUGGAUGCAUGUUAUAAUCUCUUGAUCCUCUAUAAAUUGAGAGCCAUGAACAUCAAUCUCAUCACACCAAAAUUACCACAAUCUUCCAAGAAAAUCAGCAUUCUUUUUAGACUACUCUUCAAAUUUUAAUUUCGCGUUCUGAAAUGGCCAGUGGAAAAGUAACAGCUAUUGCCUGCCUUGUUCUGUUCAUGGUUUUCUGCACAGAUUUUAACAGCGUUAUGGCAUCAACUGCAAAUCCAGCAUGUUGUCAACCAAAUCACAUUGGUCAAUGUAAUCUGAGCAACAAAAAUGACAUGGUGCGCUGUAACGAUUACUGCAUUUCAAGCUGCAGGGGUGGAGAAUGCAAGAUUAGGGAUGGGAAGCAUGUCUGCUGGUGCUACUGUUAAGACAUUCCUCAAUGCACUAUGCACGCAAACAUAUAUAGAUUCAUUCGUUCGACUGAUAGAUGAAGAUUUUUGGUUUAUAAUGCAUGGAAAUGUAUUAGUUUCUUCUCCAUAUAAAUAAUGAAUAAAACCAAUUGAUUAGCCUUUGCCUUCUUA